rnacentral:rRNA from 1 species
AAUCAAGUGCCUUAAGGGUGUUCGGUGGAUGCCUUGGCGCUGAGAGGCGAUGAAGGACGUGCUACGCUGCGAUAAGCCGUGGGGAGCUGCGAAGAAGCUUUGAUCCGCGGAUUUCCGAAUGGGGAAACCCACCUUCGAUAGCCGGAACUCCAAGACCUUGUGUCUUGGUGUUCGACCAGAAAUGAUCGGGACCAUGACCGCGAGGUUUUGGAUUUCCGGUUAUCAAGAGAAGGUAUGAGACUUCUGAAUACAUAGGAGGUUUCAAGCGAACCCAGGGAACUGAAACAUCUAAGUACCUGGAGGAAAGGACAUCAACAGAGACUCCGUUAGUAGUGGCGAGCGAACGCGGACCAGGCC